GUUAUCACAACAGCCCUACUAGUAACAACUGAAAUUAAUGGAUAAUUCAGUUUGUAUGCAGGUUAAAAACGUAAUGUGUUUUUGUUCAGAUCUUUUGGAUUUUGUCGACGAGAACAGAGAGAAUGUACAGGACUGUUCAGAUGAAGAAAGAGAACCGCUGGGCAGCCCUGAGUUUCCUCGCCUCCACCCUGCAGCAGAGCUCAGCUCACCAGAGCAGAGGUCACGGCAACAUGAGGCUAGUCUGGCUGAGGGAGAUGUGCCAGAGCUUGAAGAAGAUGAUGACGCCCCAGAAGAACUGAACCAGUCAGAGGAAGAGGAGCUGAUAGACUCUGGGUCAGCCAGUCAGAGCCCUGAACUUCCACAGGAAGAGGAAGAGGAAGAGAACGAUGAUGACGACGCUCUUAGUGCAGAAGUUGGACCCAGUGGACCCGAAACCAAUUUCAUCAUCACUGCGGGACUGAGUCACACUGCUACUCAGCAAAGAGAGUGAGAGAAGAUCUGCUCGGCCAAAAAUACUUGAAUACUACACACCAGAUGGGAAUAAAGUGAAAACUAAAUAGGAAAACA
ensembl:lncRNA